AUGCGGACGCCGGUGGCGUACAAGGCGCGGCCGCGGGCGUCGCCGGAGACCCUCGCGCGCGGCAUGAACUUCGCCGUCGGCGGCGCCGGCGUGCUCGACACCGGCAACUUCCAGCGCAACAUCAGCGCGCAGAUCGACCUCUUCCAAACCAUGCACCACCGUCCUGGUUGCCGCGCUGGCAGCGGCAAGAGGACCGCACUCGUCGUCGUCUCCGGCAACGACUACGCCUACGCCGCCGACAAGGACAACAACGGCACCAGCGCGGCGAUCGCGUACAUCCCAACGGUGGUGCGGGAGCUCCGGGGGCAGCUCCGGCGGCUGCGCGACGAGGCGGGGAUGCGGAGGGUGGUGGUGACCAACCUGCACCCCAUGGGUUGCACGCCGACAUUCACCCGCCUGCUCAACUACACCGGCUGCGACCCGCUGGCUAACGCCGGCGCCUCCCAGCACAACGCCGCGCUCCAUUCGGUCCUCCAACAACCGCACCUUCCUCCUCCUCGACGUCCACACCCCCUUCGCCGCCUUCCUCCUCGACGACAACAAUGGUGA
rnacentral:rRNA from 1 species